rnacentral:rRNA from 1 species
AUGGCCGACGGUGGUCGGUUAAUGGCUGAGAACGUCGGGAAUGUCCACCGGGUAUCUGUGGAUGGAGGUCGCCCACGGCCCGUCGGCGUUGCGCGCGGGCUGGAUGCACUCCCACGCCGCGCCGUUGCACUUGAACCCGGACCCGAAGCCGAUCAUCCACACGCGGUCGCCCUUGCGCAUGCGGCCCUUGGCCUCGAUGUAGCCCAGCUCGUACCACAGCGAGCUGCUCGACGUGUUCCCGAACUUGUGCAGCGUCAUCCGCGACGCCUCCACCUGCUCGUCGGACAGCCCGAGGUUCUUCUGCAGCUCGUCGAUGAUCGCGCGGCCGCCGGCGUGGAUGCAGAAGUGCUCGAACGCCGUGCGGAAGUCGGGGAUGUACGGCUUCACCCGCCUGUUGAUCACCUUCCGCGCGACGAAGGAGAAGGCGAACUUGAGCUGCUCGCUGGCCGGCAGGACGAGCGGCCCCAUCGCGGUGAUAUUGGCCUUGAGCGCGUCGCCGGCGAUGUUCAUCAGGUCCUUGCUGAGGUUGAUCCCGCGGUGGCCCUCGCCGUCCUCCUCCUGGAACACGCACCGGUACGCGCUGUCCUGCGCGCCGGUGAGCGUGCGUAUGAGGUGCUUCAGGCGGAACCGGGCCUUCGCCGGGGACGUCGACAGCAGCGCGGCCGCGCCGCCGAUGCGGAAGAGGCAGUUGGGCAGGAGCAUUGCGCGCUCGGUGCCGAGGUAGUAGUUGGGCGUGAUGGUCUCCGUGGAGACGACCAGCGCGUGCGCGCCGUGGGGGGCCACCUGCAGCAGGUUCCUCGCGAGCCCCACGGCGAUGAGCCCCGCGCUGCACCCCAUGCCGGAGAGGUGCAUGCUGCGGAUGUCGCUCCGCAGCUUGUACUUGUUCACGAUCAUGUCGACCAGGGACGGCGUGGGGCAGAACAUGCUGCAGUUGACGAUGAGUAUGUCGAUGGCCUCGGGGGCGAUGCCGGUCUUGGCGAGCAGGUCGUCGAUGGCCGAGAAGGCGACGAGCUCGAACUCGGCGCGGGCGGCGUCGACGGUGCAGUACUUGUGCGUGCCGAUGUAGUGGUGCGCCGGCGGCAGGCAGGUCUCCUCCCCGAGCCCCGAGCGCUCCAGCAGGCGCGUCAUGAACCGGAUGCUGCGCUCGUUGAGCUCGGGCAGCAGCUUGGCGUGCUCCAGGAAGCUGGCGAAGGGGAUGCGGCAGGUGUGCGGGGUGCGGAAGCCGGCGUAGUCGACGAGGUACACCGCGCGGGGACGCAGCAUGAGAUACAGGACGGUAGCCGCGGCCGGAAGGAAGCAGGCCAAGAAGAGGUGCACCGGCCGGACCUCGGAGAGCCGGCUGGCCAGCUCCUCCGGCCCGACGCGCACCAUCGCGACGAGGGCGGCGGCAGCGGCGAGCGAGACGGUGACGAUGGACGGGCUCAUGCUGCUCGAUCGUAUAGCCAGCUCGGCGAGUGUAGUGCAAAGCAUGGAUAUUUUUGGUGCGUUUGUUAG